UACGUAGGGUCCGAGCGUUGUCCGGAAUUACUGGACGUAAAGAGCUCGUAGGUGGUUUGUCGCGUUGUUCGUGAAAACUCACAGCUCAACUGUGGGCGUGCGGGCGAUACGGGCAGACUAGAGUACUGCAGGGGAGACUGGAAUUCCUGGUGUAGCGGUGGAAUGCGCAGAUAUCAGGAGGAACACCGGUGGCGAAGGCGGGUCUCUGGGCGAGUGAACUGACGC
rnacentral:rRNA from 1 species